GUAGACCCACACAUACAGAGAAGACCCCUUAACCUUUUUCACCCUUCUUCUUCUUCUUCUUCAACGCGGCUCUCUGCCCUCUAAGACCAAGCAGAUCGACAUUUUAUGGAUAAAGGAGUACCUGGAAAGGAGGCCCUGAAUGAAGUGACCCGUGAGUCGCUUAUUGCCAUUUCUUAUUCUGAACCAGAGAAGAAUCUCACUUCUGAUAUCUGGAAUGGUGAAACUCUGGCUAAAGCAAUAGACACUGAUGGAGAGGACAAGUUCAGGUCUGAACUGAUCUCCAUUUCUUAUACGCCGUCUUCUGAAUUUGGAGGCUUUCCUGUUGCUAAUGGUGAACUUAAGAACUAGGUUAAAGUAUUAGGCUGCAAGCAAUUUAUGUCUUAGCAGAGCACAUAGUAAAAGUAACGUGUGCAUGGACUUGUGCUACAGAAGUUUCACAUUUUCUGUAUAAUAACCUGGGAGAAUGAAUGGAAAUGUGUUUCUGGAUA